UCUCCUUUUCAAGUCUUUCUUUCUAAAAGGAUGACAGCACAAGGCCAAUAAACAACAAAAUAUUAUACACAAAAAAAGACAUGAAAUUCAAUGGAAAAUUGCUGGAUAGUGGCAACCAAGAACAAGUGUGAGAGUAUCAUGAAGAAGAUCAAUGACAGAUGCUGAAUUCAACGAGCAUGGAUGUUCAACAAUUCCUUUUUUGCCACAUAUAAUAUGAUAUAUUCAGUUAAGAAAAAAAACCCUGAUAUAUAAAACUAAUAUUUUGAAAUUUGAAAUUGAUUUGGGCAUAUUCACAGCAUAAAUUGUAUGGAAGAUUAGAAACUAACUGAAAUUGUACAUCAGAAUUCAAAACCAGCAGUGAAGCUACAGGUAUUACUGCACAAUAAAAUGAAAUGGACUCAAAACAGUUUUGAAGUGAGAAAUUCUGCAGUCAGAAGCAAAUAUUGGUCUAGCACAUCCAUUAUCACACCAGAAUAGAAUGCAGACCUUUUUAAUUCAUACCUCCUAUAACAAGAAACAUUCAUUAUUUUUCUACUCAUAAAUGCUAACUACAAUGACGACAAGUAAUUUCUCAAACCCCAAGAAAUCUUUUUUGUUUUCUUUUGCUUAUUUAUUUUUAUGAAUAUGGCUUAAACUCACAACUUAUGGGUGAAUUUUGGUACAAUCAUCGGAAUUCAAUUUGUAUAAGCUAAAUGACAACUUUAAACUUUUUUCAAUAAUGGCAGUAAUAAAAUUUUAAGAGAUUCAACAAAAAGCCUGUAGCGUACUUAAGAGAUUCAACAAAAAGCUAUAGCAUGCUUAUAAUUAUACAACUAAAUUU
rnacentral:misc_RNA from 1 species